rnacentral:tRNA from 1 species
GGCCCCGCGGUGWCACCACAUCGAAAUGCAAGUUCGAAGAGGCACCAGAGAGGUGCCGGGGCUU